rnacentral:rRNA from 1 species
UUAAGCAUAUAAGUAAGCGGAGGAAAAAGGAACUAAAUAGGAUUCCCUCAGUAAUGGCGAAUGAACAGGGAUGAGCUCAGGCUGGAAACCGAUACAUCUGUGUCGGGCUGUAGCCUGCAGGCAUAGCGCUAUCGGCGGCUCGAGCGCAAGCCUCUUGGAAUAGAGCGUGUGCCCGGGUGAGAAUCCUGCAUUUCGCUCGAUGUCCGCUGUCCACAGUGCUUGUUCUGAGAGUCACGCUCCUCGGAAUUGGAGCGUAAAUCAGGUGGUAAGUUUCAUCCAAAGCUAAAUAGAAGCUCGAGACCAAUAGCAAACAAGUACCAUGAGGGAAAGAUGAAAAGGACUUUGGAAAGAGAGUUAAAAGUGUUUGAAAUUGCUGAGAGCGAAGCGAACGGAGCCACAUGUCGUGCUGAGAUUGCUGUGGGUCUUUGUGAGCCUUAAGCAUGUAAGCGCAAGCUGACUGCUUAUGCGUGAGCAUUUGUCCGCAGUGUUUCUCAGCAUGCGAGUCAUUAGCCACAUUUGUUUGAGGAUGGCCUUCAGCUCACAUGGUACACUUGUUAGUGUGCCUCUGUGCGGUGUGGGACUCAGACAGGUGUGGCUUGUUGACCCAGUGGUUUUUUUCGACCCGUCUUGAAACACGGACCAAGGAG